rnacentral:lncRNA from 1 species
GGCUUUUCCCCUGUAUGUCUCCUCAUGUGGACCACCAGCAUAUACUGGGCUUUGAAUGGUUUCUGCUCCCGGGAACAGUCCAGCCAUCGGCACACAAACUCUUUCUUCUCACCAUGUAUGUGGUCAUUAUUUAUAUGAUGCACUAGCUGUUCCUGUGUGUCAAACUCCCGGGAACAGCCUUCCCAAUGGCAGUUCGUCUCGUAGACCACUUCAGGCUCCUGUUUGCUUUCAUCUCUGUCCCCUUCCUCCUUUACCGGGGUCAUACCUUCUGGCUGUUCCUGCACGCUUCCCGCACCCGGGCUGGGGAGGUCCUCAUCCGGCUUUAUCUUGGAGCGCUUGUUGUGCAUUGGAUCCCCAGUGCUGCUCACUGCAGACUCACUUGUGGGUUUGUUCUGCUGUGUGGACUCAGAAGGUCCAGAGCUGACCUGGACAGGGUUCAGGACACUGGGGAUGCCAGGGAUAGGUCUCUGGGUAGGAAAAGUUGGAGCAGGAUGGAUGAGAGGAGGGCUGUGUCCAAAGGCAGAACCCAGGGUUUGCUGACGACUUAUAAUUUGCUGAUGCAUUUGCUGGAGGGAUACCGGUG